AUUGAACGCUGGCGGCAUGCCUUACACAUGCAAGUCGAACGGUAACAGGUCUUCGGAUGCUGACGAGUGGCGAACGGGUGAGUAAUACAUCGGAACGUGCCCGAGAGUGGGGGAUAACGAGGCGAAAGCUUUGCUAAUACCGCAUACGAUCUCAGGAUGUAAGCAGGGGACCGCAAGGCCUUGCGCUCACGGAGCGGCCGAUGGCAGAUUAGGUAGUUGGUGGGAUAAAAGCUUACCAAGCCGACGAUCUGUAGCUGGUCUGAGAGCACGACCAGCCACACUAGGACUGCGACACGGCCCAGACUCCUACGGGAGGCAGCAGUGGGGAAUUUUGGACAAUGGGCGCCAGCCUGAUCCAGCCAUGCCGCGUGCAGGAUGAAGGCCUUCGGGUUGUAAACUGCUUUUGUACGGAACGAAAAGACUCUGGUUAAUACCUGGGGUCCAUGACGGUACCGUAAGAAUAAGCACCGGCUAACUACGUGCCAGCCGCCGCAGUAAAAC
rnacentral:rRNA from 1 species